rnacentral:rRNA from 1 species
ACGUAGGUGGCAAGCGUUAUCCGGAUUUAUUGGGUGUAAAGGGUGAGUAGGCGGGCUGACAAGUCAGAUGUGAAAUGUUCAGGCUUAACCUGAGAACUGCAUUUGAAACUGCCAGUCUUGAGAGUCGGAGGGGUAAUCGGAAUUCCCGGUGUAGCGGUGAAAUGCGUAGAGAUCGGGAGGAACACCAGUGGCGAAGGCGGAUUACUGGACGACAACUGACGCUGAAACACGAAAGCGUGGGGAGCAAACAG